rnacentral:rRNA from 1 species
UAAUCGCAGAUCAGCAUGCUGCGGUGAAUACGUUCCCGGGCCUUGUACACACCGCCCGUCACACCAUGGGAGUCGGUAACACCCGAAGCCAGUAGCCCAACCGCAAGGAGGACGCUGUCGAAGGUGGGAUUGAUAACUGGGGUGAAGUCGUAACAAGGUAUC